CUUCAGUCUCGUGGGCAUGUCUUGUCACUCUGGGAAAUGUCCACAGUUCUUCCAAACCACAGAGCAGCUUCCUUGGACAAAGGUGCUGUUUUUAGUUUUAACUGGGCUUAGUCUAUCUGAAAAACUUGGUCCUUUUGUGCCUGGCAAAGACCCACGCAUCUAGCUGGGCACGCUGCCAUCUCACCAGAUGGCCAGCAGAGCAGUGGCCAGCACUGCGUGUCACAUCUCCACUUGGCAGCACACAACAUGAUUCCCAGGUGACAGUUGUCAUCAGCUUUGAACUCAAAACACACCUAAGGACUGGCCGAACUGAUGUGCCAGCCUGAAUCCAGCUCUGCGUAGUGGUAACUGGGUUGGACGUCAUGGAAAUAAUGCCCUCAGCUGCUUUAGAAGCAGGCUGAAAUUACCUGGAACACUGCUGUUUCUAGUCCUGCAGACCCUGGCGGGACUUCUGACCGCUCACUUGGCUGGCGCGCGGGCUGAGUCCUCCUGCCAGGCUGUGCUGACGGCCAGCAUCAUGGAAGUCAGCCCGCUUACACAAGCGGCUUCGGUGAGAUAAAAGCAGUGGAAGAACUCCCCAGUGGAAAAGAAACAACAACAACAACAAACAAACAAACAAACAAAAAAACAACACCUUUUUUUGAGUCUUAAGUGAUGGGAAUGCCUAUCAAUCAGAUGUAUUUUAACGUCUGAAGCGAUGUGAAAUCCUGUAAAAAAAUAAUUAAAAUACGAAUGUAUACCGAGGUUCCUAGGUUGUAGGUAAAGAUAGUUAAUUAUUUCACAGGCAGUUUGUUACCUGAGUAUCUGAUUAAGAAAGCACAUCGAGCUUAUCAAGAAAGCAUGUCUAUCUCCUCACCCUCAGCCCUCUUUCCUUUUCCCAGCAGGCCAGUUUUUAUGGUCUCUGAGGACCUAGUUAAUGCCUUUAAAUAUUUCAAGCCAAAUUUGGGGACGUGGGCAUGGAAGACUUCCCUGCUCCUAGUGCCAUGAAGACUUGAAAGUUUGCUUUUGUUCUGGCAGUCCGAGAAUUCGUAGCAAGUGCUUUCACAGUUUCCAAAUGCCUUUGGGACAAAACCACCGACCCCUGGAGGAGCCUGGGCGCUCGGUGCUUUUGUCAUUGCUGGCUUGCACCCAGCUGGUGUCUUCAAGGACCAACAAAAUAGAGUUUCUGUGAAUAUUUUGGGCUGUGGCUGGCACCAAGUGUCUGCCCAGGGGCAGACACACUGAUGGGGCAAUAUGUGCUGGGGUAAAACAGCGUGUGCUCCUGCAGCAGUUAGCUUUAAUGCACGUGAGUCAGAGCCCUUAGUUCUCUCUGCAGCAGUAAAUUAGGGAUAAUUAUUGCCUUCCUCACAAUUUUGAGGUAUAUUAUAAGGUGAGGUUUGCAAAAACAUUUUGACCUAGAUAUUACAAGAUUAGGACUUCCUCCUCUUUCUCCUCGUCAUUCCUGCCGUUACCGUUGCAAGGUAUUGCACUAUCUGGUAGCCAUGCGGGCAGCCUCGAGCAUUUGCACAUCCCAAGGUUUUUUGGGGUUUUUGGAAGGAUGCCUUCUUUUAAGGGAGGAAUUUCUGGGAAGGCCUUGGGCAGGAUUCAUCACUGAAAGGCUGCUCUUGCUUCCCCUGGAUGGUGGCAGCCCUGGAUGUUGGAGCUGAAGCCAUUUCUUUUGCUGCACAGCUUAAGUUGAGCUUAUGUCUGUUAAAGGCAAGCUUAGGAAGGUUUUUAUUCAAAUAGUUAAAACCUUCAUUAGGUGUUGCUUACAAAAUAAUCAAUAGCGAAAUGAGUGUUUAAAGCAUUGUUUCUUGAAGGGGAACAUGUCCCCAAGAGAGAAGUGGAAGACUAAAAACUAUUUCUGCUGGUCAAACCAUCGGUCAAGGAGCAGAGCUUCAGCAAAUGUACUGAAUUUGGUCACCCUUGUAUUUAUGGCUACACACAUCCACAUGCACUGAUGAAGCUGUUACGGUGAUACUCUCUGCCUCAGUGGUUUUAAGCAUUUAGUUAAUAGAUUUAAAGUGCUCUAAUACCGAUAGGGAAAAAUAAACAUUUCCUUUACAUUGCUGGG